rnacentral:sRNA from 1 species
GCUGGGUGUGGUGGUGCAUGCCUGUGAUCCCAGUGGCUUGGGAGGCUGAGGCAGGAGGAGCUCAAGUUCAGAGCCAGCCUUAGCAAUUUAGAGAGGCCCUAAGCAACUCAGUGAGAACCUGUCUAUA